rnacentral:rRNA from 1 species
AUUGAACGCUGGCGGCAGGCUUAACACAUGCAAGUCGAGCGAGCGGCGGACGGGUGAGUAAUGUCUGGGAAACUGCCUGAUGGAGGGGGAUAACUACUGGAAACGGUAGCUAAUACCGCAUACCAUCGGAGGUGACCAGAUGGGAUUAGCUAGUUGGUGGGGUAAUGGCUCACCUAGGCGACGAUCCCUAGCGGGUCUGAGAGGAUGACCAGCCACACUGGAACUGAGACACGGUCCAGACUCCUACGGGAGGCAGCAGUGGGGAAUAUUGUACAAUGGGAGAAAGCCUGAUGCAGCCAUGCCGCGUGUGUGAAGAAGGCCUUCGGGUUGUAAAGUACUUUCAGCGAGGAGGCGUUACUCGCAGAAUAAGCACCGGCUAACUCCGUGCCAGCCGCCGCGGUAAUAC